UCAUUGCACUAACAGGUUUUAGUUUUAUGGAUAGUAUCAGCGACUGUAGUCGGUAAACUGCAGCACAGAGGACACGAAAACGCCCUUUCCAGUUUGAAUAUGCAUUGAAUAAUCAUAUGAUGUACUAUCCUAACUCUGGUGAACAACAUGGAAAAACCAAUCUACGAGAUAUAGAUGUUCUAUAAAGUUAUUGAUUCUUGAACCUUAUUUAGCCCUCAAAAAACCAACUAUCAAUCAGUCGAAGUGUUUUCAAGAGGAAUUUAUAAUAUAGUCAGUCGUUUCCAGUGAAAGAAGUGUUAUGUACGUCGUAAGUAUUCGGUUUCCCUAAACGACACUUUUUACCGCAUCAAAAGAUAUCAAUCACAACCAAAGGUAUAAAUAGUAAUAAUCUUGAGCGUAAAUGUGAGCUAAUCAUGACGUUUUAUAAAGCAUGACACCUUUGAUAAAGUAACACCAUUAUUCUAACGUAUAUUUUACCUUACUUCCGACGUUAAUUAUAGAAAAUCUAAAGCUUUAAUCAAAAUUCUAAGAAUGCUAUAUCCUAUUCCUAUCCCUUUUUAAACCUUGCUGAAAAUGGCGAGGUUUUGACUCCAUUUGUGAGCUGAAAUUGGUGUUACCAGAGGGUCAGUUUUUGGUCGAUUUUCAAUGUUUUUUCUUCCCCGUUGCCGGGCGAAUUUUGUCAAGUUUAAAAUAUAAUGUAAAUGUGUUUUUGUUAAAACUAAAUUUGAAAUUUUUAAUAUA